rnacentral:lncRNA from 1 species
CUUAUCGAAUUUAUCAUAUGACUGAUGAUGAGGUUUGAUGAUUUAUUCAUGAUCCGUCAUCUAGUCGGAACUCACAAUAGAGGGAUUGAAUUAUAUAAGAACUACACCUUGAAGUUUUUUUUAGUUCUUCUGGGUUGCCACUAUAUACUGUCAGGUGUCACUAAUAGUAGUUAGAGCUCAUUAAGGUUGCUUAGGAUCAACAAUCCUUGAUGAGUUAGAGUGAAACUGUUUCGAUCCAUUGAAAGAAGUUUCAAUGAUGCUAUGAUAAAGAUCAUUGUAUAUCUCACUACC